rnacentral:rRNA from 1 species
UACGUAGGUGGCAAGCGUUGUCCGGAAUUAUUGGGCGUAAAGCGCGCGCAGGUGGUUUCUUAAGUCUGAUGUGAAAGCCCACGGCUCAACCGUGGAGGGUCAUUGGAAACUGGGGAACUUGAGUGCAGAAGAGGAAAGUGGAAUUCCAAGAGUAGCGGUGAAAUGCGUAGAGAUUUGGAGGAACACCAGUGGCGAAGGCGGCUUUCUGGUCCGAUUCUGACGCUGAGGCGCGAAAGCGUGGGGAGCGAUCCGG